rnacentral:rRNA from 1 species
UACGUAGGGGGCAAGCGUUAUCCGGAAUCAUUGGGCGUAAAGAGCUCGUAGGCGGCUUGGUAAGUCGGAUGUGAAACCUCCAGGCUCAACCUGGAGUCGCCAUCCGAUACUGCCAUGGCUAGAGUCCGGUAGGGGCCCACGGAAUUCCUGGUGUAGCGGUGAAAUGCGCAGAUAUCAGGAGGAACACCGAUGGCGAAGGCAGUGGGCUGGGCCGGCACUGACGCUGAGGAGCGAAAGCGUGGGGAGCGAACAGG